UACGUAGGGUGCGAGCGUUGUCCGGAAUUAUUGGGCGUAAAGAGCUUGUAGGCGGUUUGUCGCGUCUGCCGUGAAAUUUCGAGGCUCACCUCGAACUUGCGGUGGGUACGGGCAGACUAGAGUGUGGUAGGGGAGACUGGAAUUCCUGGUGUAGCGGUGAAAUGCGCAGAUAUCAGGAGGAACACCGAUGGCGAAGGCAGGUCUCUGGGCCACUACUGACGCUGAGAAGCGAAAGCAUGGGGAGCGAACAGG
rnacentral:rRNA from 1 species